AUUCUGCCCAAGCGGGGAUGGAUGAGAAGCUUCGACCAAGGUUCGACUUGAGCGCCAGCGAGAGAGCGUUGCCGCAGGCAACGACCCGAAAGGCGAAGCGCGCAGCGCUGAGUAAUCCUUCCCCCACCACCA
rnacentral:sRNA from 1 species